GGCAGCCUAAUGUAGUGGUUUGAGUGUUGGACUAUGCUCUGGAGACCAGGGUUCAAAUCCCUGCUCAGCCA